rnacentral:rRNA from 1 species
UGAACGCUAGCGACAGGCCUAACACAUGCAAGGUCAGGGGCAGCACAAGGAGCAAUCUGAGGUGGCGACCGGCGCACGGGUGAGUAACACGUAUGCAACCUGCCUGUAAGCGGGGAAUAACCCGUUGAAAGACGGACUAAUACCGCAUAAUACUAAAUUACUGCAUGGUAAUUUAUUUAAACAUUUAUGGCUUACAGAUGGGCAUGCGCAUGAUUAGCUAGUUGGAGAGGUAACGGCUCCCCAAGGCAACGAUCAUUAGGGGUUCUGAGAGGAAGGUCCCCCCACACUGGUACUGAGACACGGACCAGACUCCUACGGGAGGCAGCAGUGAGGAAUAUUGGUCAAUGGACGAGAGUCUGAACCAGCCAAGUCGCGUGCAGGAAGAAUUGUCCUAUGGAUUGUAAACUGCUUUUGCAGGGGAAUAAAGUGCAUCACGUGUGAUGUUUUGUAUGUACUCUGCGAAUAAGGAUCGGCUAACUCCGUGCCAGCCGCCGC